rnacentral:lncRNA from 1 species
ACAGAGCUUGCUCGGUGACGAGCUUCCUCUGCUUCAGCACCGACACAUCCUUCAGCCGGUGAAAGUCCUCUCGGUCUCCAUCCUCCACCCGACUGUUUUCGUUCGGCUGAGUCCGAGGGUCGCCCCAGCGGGAAGGGAACUCCCAAGGUAGUGAAGAGAAAGUGAAGAAAAAUUAGUUCUUCCACCCGUGGAUCGACGAUG